UGUAGUCAUAUGCUUGUCUCAAAGAUUAAGCCAUGCAUGUCUAAGUAUAAACAAUUUUGUACUGUGAAACUGCGAAUGGCUCAUUAUAUCAGUUAUAGUCUACUCGAUAGUACCUUACUACUUGGAUAACCGUAGUAAUUCUAGAGCUAAUACAUGCAUGAAUACCCAACUGCUUGUCGGGCGGGUAGCAUUUAUUAGAUUGAAACCAAUGCAGUCUUCGGGCUGGUAUUGUGUUGAGUCAUAAUAACUGUGUGGAUCGCACUUUGUGCGAUAAAUCGAUUGAGUUUCUGCCCUAUCAGCUUUGGAUGGUAGGAUAUGGGCCUACCAUGGCAUUAACGGGUAACGGGGAAUUAGGGUUUGAUUCCGGAGAGGGAGCCUUAGAAGCGGCUACCACAUCCAAGGGAGGCAGCAGGCGCGUAAAUUACCCAAUCCUGACACAGGGAGGUAGUGACAAUAAAUAACAAUGCUCUGGCUCUUCGAGUCGGGCAAUUGGAAUGAGAACAAUUUAAAUCCCUUAACGAGGAUCAAUUGGAGGGCAAGUCUGGUAAUCG
rnacentral:rRNA from 1 species